rnacentral:rRNA from 1 species
AGAGUUUGAUCCUGGCUCAGAAUGAACGCUGGCGGCGUGCUUUACACAUGCAAGUCGAGCGAGGCGUCCCGCAAGGGAUAGUCGAGCGGCGAACGGGUGAGUAACGCGUGGAUAACCUGCCCUGAGGUGUGGAACAACCAGGGGAAACUCUGGCUAAUACCGCAUGAUAUCGAGAGAUCAAAGGGGGCUCGCAAGAGCUCUCGCCACAGGAGGGGUCCGCGUCCGAUUAGCUAGUUGGUAGGGUAAUGGCCUACCAAGGCGACGAUCGGUAGCCGGCCUGAGAGGGUGAUCGGCCACACUGGAACUGAGACACGGUCCAGACUCCUACGGGAGGCAGCAGUGGGGAAUUUUGCGCAAUGGGCUAACGCCUGACGCAGCAACGCCGCGUGGAGGAUGAAGGUCUUUGGAUUGUAAACUCCUGUCAGCGGGGAAAAAGCGACUCGUGCUCAUACCACGGGGAGUUGAUUGUACCCGCAGAGGAAGCCCCGGCUAACUCUGUGCCAGCAGCCGCGGUAAUACAGAGGGGGCAAGCGUUAUUCGGAAUUAUUGGGCGUAAAGGGCGCGUAGGCGGCUUGGCAAGUGGAAGGUGGAAUCCCUCGGCUUAACCGAGGAACUGCCCUCCAAACUGCUUUGCUUGAGGCCGGGAGAGGCGAGUGGAAUUCCCAGUGUAGCGGUGAAAUGCGUAGAUAUUGGGAGGAACACCAGUGGCGAAGGCGGCUCGCUGGACCGGUUCUGACGCUGAUGCGCGAAAGCGUGGGGAGCAAACGGGAUUAGAUACCCCGGUAGUCCACGCUGUAAACGAUGAGUGCUUGGUGUAGCGGGUAUCGACCCCUGCUGUGCCGAGGUCAACACAUUAAGCACUCCGCCUGGGGAGUACGGUCGCAAGGCUGAAACUCAAAGGAAUUGACGGGGGCCCGCACAAGCGGUGGAGCAUGU